rnacentral:rRNA from 1 species
CCCUUAGAUGUUCUGGGCCGCACGCGCGCUACACUGACUGAUGCAAUGAGCGGUAACCUGAGAGUUCGAGAGUCUUGGGUAAUCUGUGAAGCUCAGUCGUGCUGGGGAUAGAUUCUUGCAAUUAUGGAUCUUCAACGAGGAAUUCCUAGUAAACGCAAGUCAUCAGCUUGCAUUGAUUACGUCCCUGCCCUUUGUACACACCGCCCGUCGCACGUACCGAUUGGAUGGUCCGAUGAACAUUAUGGAGUUGGCCUCAUGGUAAAUAAAGUAAUGUAAAUCUUAUCAUCUAGAGGAACGUAAAGUCGUAACA